CCCUUAGAUGUUCUGGGCCGCACGCGCGCUACACUGACGGAGUCGACGAGUUGUCCUGCAUCGGAAGGUGUGGGUAAUCUUUUGAAACUUCGUCGUGCUGGGGAUAGAUCUUUGCAAUUUUCGAUCUUGAACGAGGAAUUCCUAGUAAGCGUGAUUCAUCAGAUCGCGUUGAUUACGUCCCUGCCCUUUGUACACACCGCCCGUCGCUACUACCGAUUGAAUGGUUUAGUGAGGCCUCGGGACUGGCGCGCUCGAGUAGCAAUACACCUGCGCGCCGGGAACUUGGUCAAACUUGAUCAUUUAGAGGAAGUAAAAGUCGUANCA
rnacentral:rRNA from 1 species